rnacentral:rRNA from 1 species
GCAUCUAAGCGGGAAGCCUCCUUCGAGACGAGAUCUCCCUGAGGACUUGAUCCUCCUGAAGUGCCGUUGAAGACGACGACGUUGAUAGGCUGGGUGUGUAAGCGCUGUGAGGCGCUGAGCUAACCAGUACUAAUUGCACGUGAGGCUUGACCAUAUA